GCCAUAACAGUAUUAAAGGUCCCACCUGCCCAGUGAAAUUUUUAAACGGCCGCGGUAUCCUAACCGUGCAAAGGUAGCGUAAUCACUUGUCCCCUAAAUAGGGACUAGUAUGAAAGGUUAAAUGAGGACAAACCUGUCUCUUGCGGAAGAUCAGUGAAACUGAACUUCCAGUACAAAUGCUGGAAUAUCCACACAAGACGAGAAGACCCUGUGGAGCUUCAAAACUACCCUCAAACAAUAAAUUGAGCCCGAGUUUUCAGUUGGGGCGACUUCGGAACAAAAAAAAGCUUCCGAGCACCAAGAGAUCCCCUCUUGCAGCGGCCAACAAGCCAAAGCAUCAACAACCCAUGACCCGGAUUUGAUUCCGACUAACGAACCAAGUUACCCCAGGGAUAACAGCGCUAUCUUCUUUAAGAGUCCAUAUCAACAAGAAGGCUUACGACCUCGAUGUUGGAUCAGGACACCCAAAUGGUGCAGCCGCUAUUAACGGUUCGUUUGUUCAACGAUUAACAGUCCUACGUGAUCUGAGUUCAGACCGGAGU
rnacentral:rRNA from 1 species